UACGGAGGAUGCGAGCGUUAUCCGGAUUUAUUGGGUUUAAAGGGUGCGUAGGCGGGCUAUUAAGUCAGCGGUAAAAAUUCGGGGCUCAACCCCGUCCGGCCGUUGAAACUGGGGGCCUUGAGUGGGCGAGAAGAAGGCGGAAUGCGUGGUGUAGCGGUGAAAUGCAUAGAUAUCACGCAGAACCCCGAUUGCGAAGGCAGCCUUCCGGCGCCCUACUGACGCUGAGGCACGAAAGUGCGGGGAUCGAACAGG
rnacentral:rRNA from 1 species